UACGUAGGUGGCAAGCGUUGUCCGGAAUUAUUGGGCGUAAAGCGCGCGCAGGUGGUUUCUUAAGUCUGAUGUGAAAGCCCACGGCUCAACCGUGGAGGGUCAUUGGAAACUGGGGAACUUGAGUGCAGAAGAGGAAAGUGGAAUUCCAAGUGUAGCGGUGAAAUGCGUAGAGAUUUGGAGGAACACCAGUGGCGAAGGCGGCUCUCUGGGACGGUACUGACGCUGAGACGCGAAAGCGUGGGGAGCAACAGG
rnacentral:rRNA from 1 species